UAAACAGUAGAUUAACACACAUUUGGUAUGUUAUAUGUAUUACAUGCUGUCUUCCUACAAUAAAGCAAGCUAGAGAAAAGGAAACGUUAAGAAAAUCAUAAGGAAGAGAAAAUCCAUGUACAGUACUGUACCUUAUGUAUCGCAGAAAAUCCCCUUAUGGGUGGACCUACGCAGUUCAAACCUGUGUGGUUCGAGGGGCAACUCUAAGUCACGUGAACAUUGUUUAACUGAAAACUGCCUCCUCUACAACUUUUCCAGACCUUUCUCUGCUUCUUCUCUCUAAGUGCCAGCCACACUGCUCUUCCUUGGGGACCCCCUAACCCCAUGCUUCUUCUCAUCUAAGGCCCUUAUCUCAGGUUCAUCUUCCUUCUAGAAACUCACCUCCCCCUUUCCCUUGGCGACAUCUCCUUUCCCUCUGGGAAGUCUUCCUUAUCUCUCCGGAUGAGGUCAGGUCCCCUGUUCCAGGCUUUCUUAGCCCCUGUACUCCUUCCUAGCACUCAUCAUAAUCGUGAUUAAAACAUUAAUCGAAUAAUUACUGUCUUACUGUUUGAUGUCCCUGCCAGAGUAAAAGCUCCAAGAGGGAGGGUUAUUUAUGGGUGUUUUCUGUGUCCCCAACACCUGGGACGGGGACUUUAUAGAGAGAAGCCAAUAGAAAACACACUGAAUGAAUGACCAAAUAGGGGAGCUCUCAUUAACUGAAAGGAGUUUUCCCUUAAGAGGUGAACUAUUUUUGAGUCAUCCUAAGGCCGCUCUCGCUUUGAGCACCACCAACCAUGAGAGUUGGCGAUAGACGCUGUGGUUUUGAAGGCACUGACGACAGAAUACAGAAAGAGGGAAGGUCUUCUUAGGCUCCGAAGGGUCUUUUUGCAAGAUGAGCUAUAAUAGGAAAAGAGAAAACUCAUCGUUGGCCUACAGAAACUGUGUAUUAUUUGAUCGUGGUCACACUCAAGGCCAACUUCAGUUAGCCUCUUUAUGUUUUUCUCUGUGGCUCUUGUAGAGUGCGUCGUAAGGUCAUCGAUUUGGAAGGGAAAUUGGGAGGAGAGAGAGCGGUGUUUUCUGGACAAACACCACCAGCCUAUCAGGUGUCCUUAUUGGAUUAGAUUACAGGCAUGAACAAACAGCCUGGAAGUUGGCCGGACAUGCACUGAUCAUGCCUUGUUUUCUGUUCUCUGUGAUGAAAGGACAGACCUAUCACAUAAUGGUGUUCAGUAGAGGUAUUUGUUAAAUGAAUGAGUUAAUGAAUUCCCAAGCAAUAAGGCAGUGGGCAUUUUAUCCCCCCGGCCAGUAACACCACAUUGCAUACAUUGCCUCGGCCGGGCAUUGGAAUGCGUAAUAAAAGUUGGGCCCCCUAGUGGUAGUAAAACUGAUAAGACAACAAGGAGAGGAAAUGAGGGAGAGACAGAUUGAUCUGGGGGAGAAAGGGAAUGAUUUGAACAGAGUCACAGCAUGCAUGUGAUCUAAAAUCCAGGCACGAAGUGAGAGUUUGUCUCCUUGAUGUGUCCUGGAGUUUGUCAAACACGUCACAAUAUGUUGCCCUGAGUCUUUUCUUGUUGACAGUCUGAUAGAUGAGCCACUAACUGAUUCUUGUCCCUCACAUUUUUCUCUCAUUCUUAAUCUUUGUCAGAACAAACAAUUUCCCCCCACCCCUAAUUUACUUUCUACGAAUCCCUUCAAGAUGCCAUCUCACACACAAGCCUCUUCAGCGGGUCCAGGGGAGCUCAGCCUACCCCAGUCUUCAGAGUUUGGUCACUGAGGCCUUCCCCGGGGUGAGGUGAGGACUGUGGCCUUCAUGUGGCCCCAGUCCUGGGAAGUGACACCAUCUUUCAUGUAGACGUCCAUGCCAGGAACUGGAUUCCAUCCUCAGAAUCCCAUCUUCUUCCCUCAGAGCUACUCAGCCUCCAGGUUCUCCCAGUUAUUUUCCUUCUAAACACUUUUCAUCCUUUUCAUCUCGAUGACAUGUCCAUGGUCAGUCCUUCCACCUCUCUACUAUGGACCAUGCCUCCAGCCUUAUCCCAGUUCUUGGCCUGUUCCAUGAACCUCUUCUCCCCACUGUGGCCAGAAAGGUGUAACUAAGCUGCCUUCCUUUCCUUAAAAGCUGUGAAGUGCCCAGACCCAGGCAAAGCCCACACUCCUUGGCAUCGGAUGCAAGAAGAUCUGUCCCUUUUGUGCCUGUUAGCUCAGCAUAUUUAUUAGUAGCAUCCCCGAGUUCACUCUCAGAAGUGCUCUGGGUUGGGUGGGAAAUUAUACAGUCACCCAACACAUAAAGCCUUUUAUGAUCUGCCUCCCACCCACUUGUCCAGCUCUGCCUUCUGCUCCUCACUGACUGGGCUUCCUCCUCAGUCUCAAGCAGGACGAUUGCAGCCGUUCAGGGAAUCACAUGCAGAUGGACCUGGAUGAAGACACUGCUGAAAAUUUUUACCAAAUUUGCUAGAAUGUGAAACGCGUAUUAGGUCGACUGUUCACAUCUCAUAUCUGAAACUGAGGAUGAAGCCCCCUGAAACACCACCACCUCCCACCCACAUGCCGAGAGCUGCCAUGUUGUUAGUGGGAGCAUUUGUAGUGAACCAGCCCAGGUGCCCCGAGACCAUGGGGCACCUGGCUUUCACGGCCAGUUUCUAAGUGAUGCAGCUGUUGGGACCCAGAGCACGUUCACAGCAGGGGCAGGACUAUGGGAGGACUGGUGCCUAGUUCAUACAACAUCUAAUUAAGGAAAUUUUCUCCUAUAAGUCUCAGGAUCCAGAAAGUGUGAUAUGAGCACGUGGAAACGAGAAUGAGAAAGCUAAAAUGGAGCCACGUGGAAAGGAAAGAGGUGCUGUUCCAAGUGCUUGCUGAAUCCUCAGAUAACUUCACGAGGUAGGGAACAUCUUUCCCAUUUUACAUGUGAGGAAACUGAGGCACAGACAGGUCCAGCAAGCCACCCAAGGCCUCACUGCUAGUAAGUGACAGAGUCAGUGUUUCAACCCUGACAGUCUGGGUCCAGAGUCUAUGUUCUUAGCCACCAUGUUUUUUUUUUUUAAGUUUAUUUUUAUUUAGAGAGAGAGAGAAAGAACAAGAGGGGGAGGGGCAGAAAGAGGGAGACAGAAUCCC